rnacentral:rRNA from 1 species
UACGGAGGGUGCAAGCGUUGUUCGGAUUUACUGGGCGUAAAGCGCGCGCAGGUGGGUGAACAAGUCGGAAGUGAAAUCUUGAGGCUCAACCUCGGGCCUGCAGUCGAUACGGGCAAACUAGAGUACUGCAGGGGAGACUGGAAUUCCUGGUGUAGCGGUGAAAUGCGCAGAUAUCAGGAGGAACACCGGUGGCGAAGGCGGGUCUCUGGGCAGUAACUGACGCUGAGGAGCGAAAGCGUGGGGAGCGAACAGG